ACAGUUACUGAUGACCCCUCCCAGAGGAUCUCCCUUGAAGUCGAACUCCACAUCCAUGUAUUUGCCCUGAAGGAUGGGGAUGGGGUCAGGGUGAGUGGGCCCCAGGGGGACCCCUCCCCACGCCCCCUCCCCGCUCACUCACAAAUCGGGAGGAAUUGUCGUUGCGGAUGGUUUUGGCAUUCCCAAAGGCUGUGGAGGAGGACGAUGGGGUUAUGCAGCACCAGGUGGUGCAGUUUUGGGGGGGUGAUGAGUCCUGGGGUGUGUGGGGCACUCACCCUCCAGCACCGGGUUAGACUGCAGCAGCUGCUCCUUCACUUUGUCCACCUCCUCCCCUUUGCUGCUCACGGCCGCCACGUAGGACAUCACCAGCUUGCUGGCCUCUGCAAUGGGGGUGUCAGCCUUGGGACCUGGGACCCCCCAUCCUGCAGCCCUGCAGCUCCCAGCCCACCCUACCUGUCUUGCCAGCUCCACUUUCACCAGUGAUGAGGAUGCAUUGGUCCUGAUCCCGGUCCCGCAGCGAGCAAUACGCAUCAUCAGCAAUGGCGUAGCUGUGGAAGUUGCAGUCGUGGUACUCCUCCACCUUCUCGGGGGUGUAGAUGGGCAAUGGUUUGUAGGGGUUCACUGAGAUCACCACCUCCCCAAUGUAAGUCUGCAGAUCUCCUCGCGGCUGAAGCGCUCCUGCAGGGUGCGGAGCAGGGCUUCCUCGCUGAGCGGGUCCAGCAUCACCAGAUCCCCGACGGCCGCAGCGUCCAGCAGAGAGGCGGUGGCUUCCAUGGCUGGGGGCUGCGCGGUGCCUGGGGCAGAGCGGUGGGGCUGCCCUGGGUACCCCGCUCCUCUUCGAGGCUUCAGGGCAGCUCCGGGAGAAGCGCAGAGCCGGCAGGAAGCGAGGACACCUGGGCCCUAUUCUUGGGGCUGGGAUUAAUUCAGCCUCCGCUUCCUCCCUCCUUCCGGGCCGGGGGGAGCUGAGCUCGGGGCUGGGGGGGGACACCUAAGGGGUCGCGGCUCCGCCCAACCCCCGCCCUCACCUGGUGCGCUCCCCGCGACCUUCAGACCCGCUUCACCUGUAAACCCAGCCCUGCCGUCAGGGUCGGGGAAAGUUCACGGGAGGGGGGUGGC